UACGGGGGGGGCAAGCGUUGUUCGGAAUUACUGGGCGUAAAGGGCUCGUAGGCGGCCAACUAAGUCAGACGUGAAAUCCCUCGGCUUAACCGGGGAACUGCGUUUGAUACUGUUAAGCUAGAGUGUGGAAGGGGCUACUGGAAUUCCGUGUGUAGCGGUGAAAUGCGUAGAUAUUCGGAGGAACACCAAAGGCGAAGGCAGUGUCCUGGGGAGCAUCUGACGCUCAGGUGCGAAAGCUAGGGGAGCGAACGGG
rnacentral:rRNA from 1 species